rnacentral:rRNA from 1 species
UACGUAGGGGGCAAGCGUUGUCCGGAGUUACUGGCGUAAAGCGCACGCAGGCGGUCUCUUAAGUUUGGAGUGACAGUUGGUGGCUUAACUGCCAAAGUGCUUCGAAAACUGAGAGACUUGAGGGCUUCAGAGGGACACGGAAUUCCGGGUGGAGUGGUGAAAUGCGUAGAGAUCCGGAGAACACCAAAGGCGAAGGCAGUGUCCUGGGGAGUACCUGACGCUCAGGUGCGGAAAGCCAGGGGAGCGAACGG